rnacentral:rRNA from 1 species
UAGAGUUUUGAUCCUGGCUYAGAUUGAACGCUGGCGGCAGGCCUAACACAUGCAAGUCGAGCGGAUGAGAGGAGCUUGCUCYUCGAUUCAGCGGCGGACGGGUGAGUAAUGCCUAGGAAUCUGCCUAGUAGUGGGGGACAACGUUUCGAAAGGAACGCUAAUACCGCAUACGUCCUACGGGAGAAAGUGGGGGAUCUUCGGACCUCACGCUAUUAGAUGAGCCUAGGUCGGAUUAGCUAGUUGGUAGGGUAAAGGCCUACCAAGGCGACGAUCCGUAACUGGUCUGAGAGGAUGAUCAGUCACACUGGAACUGAGACACGGUCCAGACUCCUACGGGAGGCAGCAGUGGGGAAUAUUGGACAAUGGGCGAAAGCCUGAUCCAGCCAUGCCGCGUGUGUGAAGAAGGCCYUCGGGUCGUAAAGCACUUUAAGUUGGGAGGAAGGGCUUACAGCGAAUACCUGUGAGUUUUGACGUACCGACAGAAUAAG